UUAGGGUUUAGGGUUGUGGUUGUGGUCAGGGUUUAGGGUUGUGGUCAGGGUUUAGGGUUGUGGUUAGGGUUUAGGGUUGUGAUUAGGGUUUAGGGUUGUGGUCAGGGUUUAGGGUUGUGGUUGUGGUCAGGGUUUAGGGUUGUGGUUAGGGGUUAGGGUUGUGGUUAGGGUUUAGGGUUGUGGUUAGGGGUUGUGGUCAGGGUUUAGGGUUGUGGUUUAGGGUUGUGGUUAGGGUUUAGGGUUGUGGUUAGGGUUUAGGGUUGUGGUUAGGGUUUAGGGUUGUGAUUAGGGUUUAGGGUUGUGGUUAGGGGUUGUGGUCAGGGUUUAGGGUUGUGGUUUAGGGUUGUGGUUAGGGUUUAGGGUUGUGGUUUAGGGUUGUGGUUAGGGUUUAGGGUUGUGGUUAGGGUUUAGGGUUGUGGUUAGGGUUUAGGGUUGUGAUUAGGGUUUAGGGUUGUGAUUAGGGUUGUGGUUAGGGUUUAGGGUUGUGGUUUAGGGUUUAGGGUUGUGGUUAGGGUUUAGGCUUGUGGUUAGGGGUUGUGGUCAGGGUUUAGGCUUGUGGUUAGGGGUUGUGGUUAGGGUUGUGAUUAGGGUUUAGGCUUGUGGUUAGGGGUUGUGGUCAGGGUUUAGGGUUGUGGUCAGGGUUGUGGUCCCUGAGUACCAACCAAUCACUGAGGACCAUUAAUGCUAGUCUUCCUAUUAGUCAGAUGUGAGGAGCUGGAGCCGUCCUGCUGGUGGUGAAGGAGGAAAUGAGGGGGAGCGAGUUCCUUCCCACUCCUCCCUUCUCUGGUUUCCCUUCAGAAAGACGAGAGUCAUCAAGACCCUGUAGAGCCCUGGACACAGAGCAGUACAGAGCAGUACAGGACUACUACAGAGCAGCACAGGACUACUACAGACCAGCACAGGACUACCUACCGCAGACCCUGUAGAGCCCUGGACACAGAGCAGUACAGAGCAGCACAGGACUACUACAGAGCAGCACAGGACUACCUACCGCAGACCCUGUAGAGCCCUGGACACAGAGCAGUACAGAGCAGUACAGGACUACUACAGAGCAGCACAGGACUACUACAGACCAGCACAGCAGUACUACAGACCAGCACAGGACUACUACAGACCAGCACAGGACUACUACAGACCAGCACAGGACUACUACAGACCAGCACAGCAGUACUACAGACCAGCACAGGACUACUACAGACCAGCACAGCAGUACUACAGACCAGCACAGCAGUACUACAGACCAGCACAGGACUACUACAGACCAGCACAGGACUACCUACCGCAGACACUGUAGAGCCCUGGACACAGAGCAGUACAGAGCAGUACAGGACUACUACAGACCAGCACAGGACUACUACAGACCAGCACAGGACUACUACAGACCAGCACAGGACUACUACAGACCAGUACAGGACUACUACAGACCAGCACAGGACUACUACAGACCAGCACAGCAGUACUACAGACCAGCACAGGACUACUACAGACCAGCACAGCAGUACUACAGACCAGUACAGGACUACUACAGACCAGCACAGCAGUACUACAGACCAGUACAGGACUACUACAGACCAGCACAGGACUACCUACCGCAGACACUGUAGAGCUCUGGACACAGAGCAGUACAGACCAGCACAGGACUACUACAGACCAGCACAGGACUACUACAGACCAGCACAGCAGUUAUACAGACCAGCACAGGACUACUACAGACCAGUACAGGACUACUACAGACCAGUACAGGACUACUACAGACCAGCACAGGAGUACUACAGACCAGUACAGGACUACUACAGACCAGCACAGGACUACUACAGACCAGCACAGCAGUACUACAGACCAGUACAGGACUACUACAGACCAGCACAAUAGUACUACAGACCAGUACAGGACUACUACAGACCAGCACAGGACUACCUACCGCAGACACUGUAGAGCCCUGGACACAGAGCAGUACAGACCAGCACAGGACUACUACAGACCAGCACAGGACUACUACAGACCAGCACAGCAGUUAUACAGACCAGCACAGGACUACUACAGACCAGUACAGGACUACUACAGACCAGUACAGGACUACUACAGACCAGCACAGGACUACUACAGACCAGCACAGGACUACUACAGACCAGCACAGGACUACUACAGACCAGUACAGGACUACUACAGACCAGCGCAGGACUACUACAGACUACUACAAACCAGCACAGGACUACUACAGACCAGCACAGGACUACUACAGACUACUACAGACCAGUACAGGACUACUACAGACCAGCACAUUACUACCACAGACCAGUACAGACCAGUUUGGUGACCAGUGGAACCAGCAGGAUCCUUUUGAUGGGACUCCCAGAACAGAGGGCUGUGACUGGACAGUGAGUGACCCCAUGCCUCUGAGUCCGGCUGCCAACGCUAAGCAUGACCCCCCUGAUCACCCCCGGCAACCAGCCGCUACCAAUGGCAACCAGCCAGGUUCCGCCCUUGCCAGGGACGACGGGAGGACUUCCUCCCCAGAUCCUCCUGACGACGGCUCCGGAAACAGCAUCGUCAUCCGUAUUGGCAUCCCUGACCUGCAGCAGACGAAGUGCCUGCGGCUGGACCCCGAGGCAGCGGUGUGGAGCAGUAAGCAGCGUGUGUUAGUGACUCUAACACAGAGCCUGACUGAUGUUCUGAACUACGGCCUGUUUCAACCGGCCUUCAACGGACGAGCUGGGAAGUUCCUAGAUGAGGAACGACUGCUGAAAGACUACCCUCUACCCCCCAUCACCCCUAUUCCCUACCUAGAGUUCCGCUAUAAGAGGCGUGUUUACACUCAGAGCUACGUGGACGACAAGCAGCUAGCGAAGCUCCAUACCAAGGCCAACCUGAAGAAGUUCAUGGACUACGUUUACCAGCUCAGCGUUGACAAAGUCUCCAGGUUCUUGGAGAAAGGUCUUGAUCCUAAUUUCCAUGAUGCAGACACAGGAGAAUGCCCCUUAACCCUGGCGGUUCAGCUCGAGGGCAGUGCAGAGCUGAUUAAAGUCCUGAGGAGUGGAGGAGCCCACCUGGACUUCAGGACGAGAGACGGAAUCACAGCGCUGCACAGAGCCGUUCUCUCAAGGAACCACACAGCACUCACAACGGUGUUGGACCUGGGGGCGUCUCCAGACUAUAGGGACAGCCGUGGGUUAACUCCUUUGUACCACUGUGCCAUGGUGGGGGGAGACCCGUACUGCUGUGAACUGCUGCUUCAUGAACACGCUGUUAUAGGCAGCACCGACGAGAAUGGCUGGCAAGAGAUACACCAGGCAUGUCGUCAUGGGAACGUGCAGCACCUGGAACAUCUGCUGUUUUACGGAGCCGACAUGAGCUCCCAGAAUGCCUCAGGGAACACUGCCCUGCACCUGUGUGGUCUAUACAACCAGGAAGGCUGUGCCAGAGUUCUGCUGUUCAGAGGAACAAAUAAAGACAUUAAGAACUACAACAACCAAACAGCUUUUCAGGUGGCCAUCAUUGCUGGGAAUUUUGACCUGGCAGAGAUCAUUAAGAUCCAUAAGGCCUCAGACGUAGUGCCUUUCAGAGAGAGUCCUUCCUAUUCCUCAAAGCGCCGGCGUCUGGGCGGGGCCAAUAAUGUUGGUGUGUGUGGCUCGUCAUCUCCCCGUUAUCUGAUUCGCUCAGCCAGCGACAACGCUCUGGAAAGCCCCGCCUCUACUUCUCCCGGCCCCUCCCUCCACAGCCUGGAGAACACACACACUUCCAACCGGCAGACAGACAGACAGACAGACAGACAGACAGACAGACAGACAGACCUGUCUGCCUGCAUGCCUGCUGGCAGGCUACAGAGGGACCCCAGCCCGCCCCCAUCUCCCCCCAGCCCAGUGCAGCGUGGGAAACGUAGGCUGUACAGCGCUGUGCCAGGGAGGACGUUCAUCGCUACACGGUCUCACACACCGCAGGGUCCCGGGGAGAUCAGCCUGCAUCGGGGGGAGAGGGUCAAAGUGCUGAGUAUAGGAGAAGGAGGGUUCUGGGAGGGUUCUGUUAAAGGACGGACCGGAUGGUUUCCUGCUGACUGUGUUGAAGAGGUCCAGAUGAGACAGUACGACCCACGCCUAGAAACACGAGAGGAUCGAACCAAGAGGCUUUUCAGACAUUACACCGUGGGUUCCUAUGACAACUACACCUCUUACAGUGAUUAUGUCAUCGAGGAGAAGAGUUCUGUGCUACAGAAGAGAGACAGUGAAGGAUUUGGCUUCGUCCUCCGUGGAGCCAAAGCGGAGACCCCUAUAGAGGAGUUUGCCCCUACCCCAGCGUUCCCGGCGCUGCAGUACCUGGAGUCUGUUGACUUGGAGGGCGUGGCCUGGAGGGCGGGGCUACGCACUGGGGACUUCCUCAUUGAGGUAAACACACCCCAUAGAGAUGUAUAGAGAUCACAACAUUAUAUCUAUUCCAUUAUACACCCCAUAGAGAUGUAUAGAGAUCACAACAUUAUAUCUGUUCAUUAUACAUCCCAUAGAGAUGUAUAGAGAUCGUUGUAUCUAUUCCAUUAUACACCCCAUAGAGAUGUAUAGAGAUCACUACUUUGCAUCUGUCUCAUGCUGGCGUCUGUGACUGCAUGACAGCAGUGGUGGUUCUAACUCGUAUGGCUCCCUGGGUGAAGCCCCACUUCAGCCCCCCCC
rnacentral:lncRNA from 1 species